CAUGCAAGUCGAACGAUGAAGCCCUUCGGGGUGGAUUAGUGGCGAACGGGUGAGUAACACGUGGGCAAUCUGCCCUGCACUCUGGGACAAGCCCUGGAAACGGGGUCUAAUACCGGAUACGAGCCUCCCGGGCAUCUGGGAGGUUGGAAAGCUCCGGCGGUGCAGGAUGAGCCCGCGGCCUAUCAGCUUGUUGGUGAGGUAACGGCUCACCAAGGCGACGACGGGUAGCCGGCCUGAGAGGGCGACCGGCCACACUGGGACUGAGACACGGCCCAGACUCCUACGGGAGGCAGCAGUGGGGAAUAUUGCACAAUGGGCGAAAGCCUGAUGCAGCGACGCCGCGUGAGGGAUGACGGCCUUCGGGUUGUAAACCUCUUUCAGCAGGGAAGAAGCGAAAGUGACGGUACCUGCAGAAGAAGCGCCGGCUAACUACGUGCCAGCAGCCGCGGUAAUACGUAGGGCGCAAGCGUUGUCCGGAAUUAUUGGGCGUAAAGAGCUCGUAGGCGGCUUGUCGCGUCGAUUGUGAAAGCCCGGGGCUUAACUCCGGGUCUGCAGUCGAUACGGGCAGGCUAGAGUGUGGUAGGGGAGAUCGGAAUUCCUGGUGUAGCGGUGAAAUGCGCAGAUAUCAGGAGGAACACCGGUGGCGAAGGCGGAUCUCUGGGCCAUUACUGACGCUGAGGAGCGAAAGCGUGGGGAGCGAACAGGAUUAGAUACCCUGGUAGUCCACGCCGUAAACGGUGGGCACUAGGUGUUGGCGACAUUCCACGUCGUCGGUGCCGCAGCUAACGCAUUAAGUGCCCCGCCU
rnacentral:rRNA from 1 species